UCUCCAGUAGCUCAGUGGUAGAGCAAUCGGCUGUUAACCGAUUGGUCGUAGGUUCAAUCCCUACCUGGGGAG
rnacentral:tRNA from 1 species